GACGAACGCUGGCGGCGUGCUUAACACAUGCAAGUCGAACGGAAAGGCCCUGCUUUUGUGGGGUGCUCGAGUGGCGAACGGGUGAGUAACACGUGAGUAACCUGCCAUUGCCUUUGGGAUAACUUCAGGACACUGGGGCUAAUACCGGCAAGGAGCUCUUGCUGCAUGGUGGGGGCGGGUAGGUUUCGGCGGUUGGGGAUGGACUCGCGGCUUAUCAGCUUGUUGGUGGGGUAGUGGCUUACCAUGGCUUUGACGGGUAGCCGGCCUGCGAGGGUGACCGGCCACAUCGGGACUGAGAUGCGGCCCAGACUCCUACGGGAGGGAGCAGAGGAGAAGAUUGCACUGUGGGCGGAAGCCUAGUGCAGCAACGCCGCGUGCGGUGUGACGGGCAUCGGGUUGGAUUCCGCUUUCGCCUGUGACGAAGCGAUAGUGACGGUAAUGGGUAAAGAAGCACCGGCUAACUACGUG
rnacentral:rRNA from 1 species